rnacentral:rRNA from 1 species
AGGGCCUCGCGCGAAGGGAGCAGCCGAAGUCGGAUUAGCUAGUAGGUAGGGUAACGGCUGACCUAGGCGACAAUCCGUAGCUGGUCUGAGAGGAUGAUCAGCCACACUGGGACUGAGACACGGCCCAGACUCCUACGGGAGGCAGCAGUGGGGAAUUUUGGACAAUGGGGGCAACCCUGAUCCAGCCAUGCCGCGUAAGUGAAGAAGGCCUUCGGGUUGUAAAGCUCUUUCGGCCGGAACGAAAUCGCAUCUCCUAAUACGGGGUGUGGAUGACGGUACCGGAAGAAGAAGCACCGGCUAACUACGUGCCAGCAGCCGCGGUAAUACGUAGGGUGCGAGCGUUAAUCGGAAUUACUGGGCGUAAAGCGUGCGCAGGCGGCUCUUCAAGUCAGAUGUGAAAGCCCCGGGCUUAACCUGGGAACU